GCGGCGGGCGACAUGGACAACGCGGGGAAGGAGCGUGAGGCAGUACAGCUGAUGGCGGAGGCCGAGAAGCGAGUCAAGGCCUCCCACUCCUUCCUCCGAGGGCUGUUUGGAGGAAACACAAGAAUAGAAGAGGCUUGUGAAAUGUAUACCAGAGCUGCAAAUAUGUUCAAGAUGGCUAAAAAUUGGAGUGGGAAGGUUUACAAUUGCAGCCAAGCACCACAUUACUAUUGCAGAGAUCUAUGAGACUGAACUUGUAGACAUUGAGAAGGCUAUUGCACAUUAUGAACAAUCUGCUGAUUAUUACAAAGGAGAAGAAUCCAACAGCUCAGCAAACAAGUGUCUGCUGAAGGUGGCAGCAUAUGCUGCCCAGCUUGAGCAGUACCAGAAAGCCAUUGAGAUCUAUGAGCAGGUUGGGGCAAACACAAUGGAUAAUCCUUUGUUGAAAUACAGUGCAAAGGAUUACUUCUUCAAAGCUGCCCUCUGCCACUUCAUAGUAGACGAGUUGAAUGCCAAGCUUGCUCUUGAGAAAUAUGAGGAAAUGUUUCCAGCAUUUACUGAUUCAAGAGAAUGUAAAUUAUUGAAAGUAAGUAAUAUUAGAACUUUGAAGAAAAAUGCUUUUGUUCUGUCAGGUGACAACACCUAAGUGGGAUUGGGCAUGAAGUGAAGUUUUAAUAUAUAAAGUCUGCUAACUGAGGGGCCCUGGUACUUUCCUGCUUUCGCAUUAUCGCUGUUCAAAUGCAAUUAAGGUCAGAAACAUGUAGUUGUGUUCUGAAAUAGGCACCUGAGAAAUGUUAGUACAAAAGCUAGAUCCCUAACUUGGCUCUUGACUUGUAUACGAGUAUUUCCUCAGUUGUGUGCAAUAUUUGGCAACAUUGGUAUUAUACUUAAAGUAUAUAUUUAGAAAUGGGACUUCAUCUUACAGAACUGUUUUUUAAAAUAUUUUUAUGCUACCAGAAACUCCUAGAAGCUCAUGAAGAACAGAACAGUGAAGCUUACACUGAAGCAGUAAGUUAUGCUUUUGGGACAUGGUACAUUAUUUGAAGAUUUAAGUUAAAGAAACUUCUUUUCUUUUUGAUUAUGUAAAUUCUAAACAUUUAUUUGAACAUGACUCCAGCAUACCUUAAGUUGUAUUUUCCAAACGUCACCUUUUAUAUAUCACACAAAUUAAACAGUUCCAUUAGCCAUGCUGAGAUUCGACUUAUACUCAAAACUAAUUUAGCUGUGAGACUAGUUCAGGAGCAAAUAUUCCAUUUAUAUUCUUAUAAUUUGCUGUUUUAAUUUUUUCUUUUGAAAAUAAUCUGACCCAUAAAUAAGUAUAAAGUAAAAUUAGUUAAGGCCAGGCACGGCGUCUCACACCUGUAAUCCUGGCACUUUCAGAGGCCGAGGCAGGCAGAUCAUGAGUCAGGAAAUCGAGACCAUCCUAGCUAACAUGGUGAAACCCCGUCUCUACUAAAAAUAUAAAAAUUAGCCGGGCAUGCUGGCACACGCCUGUAGUCCCAGCUACUCGGGAGGCUGAGGCAGGAGAAUCGCUUGAACCCGGGAGGCAGAGGUUGCAGUGAGCUGAGAUUGCGCCACUGCACUCCAGCCUGGUGACAGAGUGAGACUCUGUCUCAAAAAAAAAAAAAAUUAAAUAUAAUUUAAAA
rnacentral:sRNA from 1 species